GGCGAUGUAGCUCAAUGGCAGAGCACCGGACUCAUAAGCCGUAGGUUACUGGUUCGAAUCCAGUCAUCGCCACCA
rnacentral:tRNA from 1 species